AACGCUGGCGGCGUGGUUGAUACAUGCAAGUCGAACGGGAAUGAGGGCUUCGGCCCUUUAGUACAGUGGCGGACGGGUGAGUAACACGUAAUCAACCUGCCCUCAAGAUGGGGAUAGCCUUCCGAAAGGAAGGGUAAUACCUGAUAAGCCCACAGUGCGGCAUCGCACAGUGGUAAAAGGUGGGGACCUUCGGGCCUGCCGCUUGAGGAUGGGAUUGCGUCCUAUUAGCUUGUUGGCGGGGUAACGGCCCACCAAGGCAAUGAUGGGUAACCGGCCUGAGAGGGUGAACGGUCACAUUGGAACUGAGACACGGUCCAGACUCCUACGGGAGGCAGCAGUGCUGAAUCAUUCGCUAAUGCGCGAAAGCGUGACGGUGCGACGCCGCGUGCAGGAAGAAGGCCUUCGGGUUGUAAACUGCUGUCAGUAUUUAGGAAACAACAUAUUUUAAUAGAAUAUGUCUUGACUCGAUACAGAGGAAGCACAGGCUAAUCUCGUGCC
rnacentral:rRNA from 1 species